rnacentral:misc_RNA from 1 species
GCAAACUUGGUCAUUUAGAGGAAGUAAAAGUCGUAACAAGGUCUCCGUUGGUGAACCAGCGGAGGGAUCAUUACCGAGUGUAACAACUCCCAAACCCUAUGUGAACAUACCCAUCUCGUUGCCUCGGCGGGCCGCUCCGGCGGGCCGCCAGGGGAAAACCCGAACUCUUGUUUUUUCUUACGCGGAAUUCUCUGAGUGAAAAAAAUGAAAUAAAUCAAAACUUUCAACAAUGGAUCUCUUGGCUCUGGCAUCGAUGAAGAACGCAGC